UACGGAGGGUGCGAGCGUUGCUCGGAAUUACUGGGCGUAAAGCGCGCGUAGGCGGCUUUGCAAGUCGGGCGUGAAAUCCCCAGGCUUAACCUGGGAACUGCAUUCGAGACUGCAUUGCUAGAGUAUGGGAGAGGGAAGUGGAAUUUCCGGUGUAGCGGUGAAAUGCGUAGAUAUCGGAAGGAACAUCAGUGGCGAAAGCGACUUCCUGGACCAAUACUGACGCUCAUGUGCGAAAGCGUGGGGAGCAAACAGG
rnacentral:rRNA from 1 species